rnacentral:rRNA from 1 species
GAUGAACGCUGGCGGCGUGCUUAACACAUGCAAGUCGAACGGGAAACCUUUUAUUGAAGCUUCGGCAGAUUUAGCUGGUUUCUAGUGGCGGACGGGUGAGUAACGCGUGGGUAACCUGCCUUAUACAGGGGGAUAACAGUCAGAAAUGGCUGCUAAUACCGCAUAAGCGCACGGAGCUGCAUGGCUCAGUGUGAAAAACUCCGGUGGUAUAAGAUGGACCCGCGUUGGAUUUGCUGGUUGGUGGGGUAACGGCCCACCAAGGCGACGAUCCAUAGCCGGCCUGAGAGGGCGAGCGGCCACAUUGGGACUGAGACACGGCCCAGACUCCUACGGGUGGCAGCAGUGGGGAAUAUUGCACAAUGGGGGAAACCCUGAUGCAGCGACGCCGCGUGAAGGAAGAAGUAUCUCGGUAUGUAAACUUCUAUCAGCAGGGAAGAUAAUGACGGUACCUGACUAAGAAGCCCCGGCUAACUACGUG